UAUGAAGAACGUAGCGAAAUGCGAUAAGUAAUGUGAAUUGCAGAAUUCAGUGAAUCAUCGAAUCUUUGAACGCACAUUGCGCCCGUCAGUAUUCUGGCGGGCAUGCCUGUUCGAGCGUCAUUACGCCCCUCAAGUCCCCUGUGGACUUGGUGUUGGGGAUCGGCGAGGCUGGUUUUCCAGCACAGCCGUCCCUUAAAUUAAUUGGCGGUCUCGCCGUGGCCCUCCUCUGCGCAGUAGUAAAACACUCGCAACAGGAGCCCGGCGCGGUCCACUGCCGUAAAACCCCCCAACUUUUUAUAGUUGACCUCGAAUCAGGUAGGACUACCCGCUGAACUUAAGCAUAUCAAUAAGCGGAGA
rnacentral:misc_RNA from 1 species